rnacentral:rRNA from 1 species
GACGAACGCUGGCGGCGUGCUUAACACAUGCAAGUCGAACGGUGAAGCGCCUUCCUUUUUGGUGGGUGUGGAUGAGUGGCGAACGGGUGAGUAACACGUGAGUAACCUGCCCCCUUCUUCUGGAUAACCGCAUGAAAGUGUGGCUAAUACGGGAUAUUCUGGGUCUGUCGCAUGAUGGGUCUGGGAAAGAUAUUGUUUCGGUGGGGGAUGGGCUCGCGGCCUAUCAGCUUGUUGGUGGGGUGAUGGCCUACCAAGGCGGUGACGCGUAGCCGGCCUGAGAGGGUGGGCGGUCACACUGGGACUGAGACACGGCCCAGACUCCUACGGGAGGCAGCAGUGGGGAAUAUUGCACAAUGGGGGCAAGCCUGAUGCAGCGACGCCGCGUGAGGGAUGGAGGCCUUCGGGUUGUGAACCUCUUUCGCCAGUGAAGCAGGCCUGCCUCGUUUGUGGGUGGGUUGACGGUAGCUGGAUAAGAAGCGCCGGCUAACUACGUG